GUGCAACGAUUUUUCGUUGGCUGUUGCCCUGUCUAAAAAACAGGGAGAGUAAGGGCUGGGUAAGACGGGUGCCAGCCGCCGCGGUAAUACCCGCGGCCAAGUGGUGCUCGUUAUUAUUGGGUUUAAAACGUCCGUAGCCGGUCCAGUAAAUUCUUGGGUAAAUCGACUGGCCUAACCAGUCGAAUUCCGGGGAGACUGCUGGACUUGGGACCGGGGGAGGUCGGAGGUACUUCCAGGUAGGGGUGAAAUCCUGUAAUCCUGGGGGGACCACCAGUGGCGAAGGCGUCCGACCAGAACGGCUCCGACGGUAAGGGACGAAGCCCUGGGGCGCAAACGGGAUUAGAUACCCCGGUAGUCCAGGGUGUAAACGCUGCGGGCUUGGUGUCGGGGGUCCUAUGAGGGCGCUCGGUGCCGGAGUGAAAAUGUUAAGCCUGCUACCUGGGGAGUACGGUCGCAAGACUGAAACUUAAAGGAAUUUGGCGGGGGAGCACCGCAACGGGUGGAGCGUGCGGUUUAAUUUGGAUUCAACGCCGUAAAACUCACCGGGGGCGACGGUUAUAUGAAGGCCAAGCUGAUGACUUUGCUUAAUUUUCCGAGAGGUGGUGCAUGGCCGUCGUCAGUUCGUACCGUAAGGCGUUCUGUUAAGUCAGAUAACGAACAAGACCCCUACCGCCAAUUGCCACGUUGUCCUCCGGGACAGCAGCACAUUUGUCGGGACCGCUGGUGCUAAACCAGAGGAAGGAGGGGGCAACGAUAGGUCAGUAUGCCCCGAAUCCCCCGGGCUACACGCGCGCUACAAAGGCCAGGACAAUGGGCUCCUACCCCGAGAGGGGAAGGCAAUCCCGAAACCUGGUCAUAGUUCGGAUUGAGGGCUGUAACUCGCCCUCAUGAAGCUGAAUCCGUAUAAUCGCGACACAUUCCCGAAUCCCCC
rnacentral:rRNA from 1 species